rnacentral:rRNA from 1 species
CCCAGUUCGGACUGUAGUCUGCAACCCGACUACACGAAGCUGGAAUCGCUAGUAAUCGCGAAUCAGAAUGUCGCGGUGAAUACGUUCCCGGGUCUUGUACACACCGCCCGUCACACCAUGGGAGUCGGGAAUGCCCGAAGUCAGUGACCCAACCAUAUGGAGGGAGCUGCCGAAGGCAGGUCUGAUAACUGGGGUGAAGUCGUAACAAGGUACC